AUUGAACGCUAGCGGGAUGCUUUACACAUGCAAGUCGAACGGAGUGGCGGACGGGUGAGUAAUCUAUCGGAACGUCCCCAGUAGCGGGGGAUACCUACUCGAAAGAGUGGCAAAUCCCACAAACUCUUGGAGCGGCACAUAUCGGAUUAGCUAGUGGGUGGGGUAAAGGCACCCCAAGGCAACGACCCGUAGCUGGUUUGAGAGGACGACCAGCCACACUGGGACUGAGACACGGCCCAGACUCCUCCGGGAGGCAGCAGUGGGGAAUUUUGGACAAUGGGGGAAACCCUGAUCCAGCCAUCCCGCGUGUAUGAUGAAGGCCUUCGGGUUGUAAAGUACUUUUGGCGGAGAAGCGGUAUCUGCAGAAUAAGCACCGGCUAACUACGUGCCAGCAGCCGCGGUAAUAC
rnacentral:rRNA from 1 species